CAAACAGCACCACCAACUCGGGACCAAUGGUUCGGUUCAAAUGGAUGAGCCCAUGGAAGACAUUCUUACUCAAACAGUCACAGCCCCAAGAUCAUGCCUUCUUUGAACAACCAAUCAAAGAUCUAGAACUCUUCCUUCAGGUAACUAGAAGUGGUCACCUUCCAUCAACGUCUGUUCUUGCCACUGAUAGCCACCAAAGUAAUCAAACAAUCCUGGAGUGGAAAAUGAAGAAAACAAUUUAGCUAAUAUGAUGAUAAAACGGCCAAACAAAAACUAAUUUUAAACAAACCACCACCACCAAUCUUGGGGUGGGGAAAUGCCCAGAAAAGCCAAGCAACAUGACACGGAGCCUGGCAUACUCCACCCAAUGGCUGGGGAGCUUUUCCAGGACUAGACACUGGUCUAGGGCUGGGAAGACAUCCAAGCUACCCUGCAGUCCUCUUCUCAACCUGGGAUUAGGAAUUGCAGCUCAUCCAGUCAAGGAAGUGCUCUCCACUGCCCUUUGUUUUUCUGUUGGAUCUGAAGCCUGAAUUCCCAUAAUGGAGGAACAACAACAACAAACCUUCCUACUUAAAAUUAUAUGUCAGUCAAGCACCAGGCCUAGCUCUGGGAGUCCUGUCAAAGAGAGGGAGGAGGAAUUAUAUGAACUAGAGGGAUCAAGAUUGUGAUGGGGAAAUCUACAGGGACAGCUGAACCAAGCUCAUGGGAACCCACAAACUCUAAACCGACAGCUGUGGAGCCUGCACGGGACUGAACAAAGACCUCUGCAUGAGGGCAUCAAGUGUGUAGCUUGGUCUGUCUGAGGGGCCCCUGGUUGUGGGACCAGGAUCUAUCACUAGUGCCUGAGCUGGCUUUUUGGAGCCUAUUCCCUAUGGUGGAACACUCAACCUUAAUGCAGUGUGAAGGGACUUGAUCCUGCCUCAACUUGAUGUGCCAGGCUUUGUUGACUCCCCAUGGAAAGGCCUUACCCUUUCAGAGGAGUGGAUUGGGGGUGGGUUGGUGGGGAGGACAGAGCGGAAGGAGCUAUGGUGAGAAAAGCUGUGGGAGGGGAAAUUAUCGUUGGUAUGUAGAAUGAAUAAAAAUUUUUAAAAAUUGUAGAUGAGCAUAGUGUGUGUGAGAGUGCAUGCAUACACAGCAGAAGAUUCUACUGCCAUAAAGUUUCUCCAGAAAACAUAAUCUAGAGCAGACCCCUAUAUACACAAGUAUAAAUGUGUGCUUAUAGUAAUCUAUAAUUUCUUAUAUUAUACAUAGGAUAAUAUGUAAUAGUACAUAAUAUAAUAAAAUUUUAUUCAACAUAUAA